UGGGGAAUAUUGCACAAUGGGCGAAAGCCUGAUGCAGCGACGCCGCGUGAGGGAUGACGGCCUUCGGGUUGUAAACCUCUUUCAGCAGGGAAGAAGCGAAAGUGACGGUACCUGCAGAAGAAGCGCCGGCUAACUACGUGCCAGCAGCCGCGGUAAUACGUAGGGCGCAAGCGUUGUCCGGAAUUAUUGGGCGUAAAGAGCUCGUAGGCGGUUAGUCGCGUCUGCUGUGAAAACUCGAGGCUCAACCUCGGGCUUGCAGUGGGUACGGGCUGACUAGAGUGCGGUAGGGGUGACUGGAAUUCCUGGUGUAGCGGUGGAAUGCGCAGAUAUCAGGAGGAACACCGAUGGGCGAAGGCAGGUCACUGGGCCGCAACUGACGCUGAGGAGCGAAAGCAUGGGGAGCGAACAGGAUUAGAUACCCUGGUAGUCCAUGCCGUAAACGUUGGGCACUAGGUGUGGGGUCCAUUCCACGGAUUCCGUGCCGCAGCAAACGCAUUAAGUGCCCCGCCUGGGGAGUACGGCCGCAAGGCUAAAACUUAAAGGAAUUGACGGGGGUCAUAGCUGUUUCCCU
rnacentral:rRNA from 1 species